UACAGAGGGGGCGAGCGUUGUUCGGAAUUACUGGGCGUAAAGGGCGCGUAGGCGGCCUACUAAGUCAGACGUGAAAUCCCCCGGCUUAACCUGGGAACUGCGUCUGAUACUGGAAGGCUUGAGGAUGGGAGAGGGAUGUAGAAUUCCAGGUGUAGCGGUGAAAUGCGUAGAUAUCUGGAGGAAUACCGGUGGCGAAGGCGGCUACCUGGACCGGUUCUGACGCUGAUGCGCGAAAGCGUGGGUAGCAAACAGG
rnacentral:rRNA from 1 species